rnacentral:rRNA from 1 species
CGUGCUUAACACAUGCAGGUCGAGCGGUAAGGCCCUUCGGGGUACACGCGCGGCGAACGGGUGAGUAACACGUGGGUGAUCUGCCUCGUACUUCGGGAUAAGCCUGGGAAACUGGGUCUAAUACCGGAUAUGACCUUCGGAUGCAUGUCUGAGGGUGGAAAGAUUUAUCGGUACGAGAUGGGCCCGCGGCCUAUCAGCUUGUUGGUGGGGUAAUGGCCUACCAAGGCGACGACGGGUAGCCGGCCUGAGAGGGCGACCGGCCACACUGGGACUGAGACACGGCCCAGACUCCUACGGGAGGCAGCAGUGGGGAAUAUUGCACAAUGGGCGAAAGCCUGAUGCAGCGACGCCGCGUGAGGGAUGACGGCCUUCGGGUUGUAAACCUCUAUGGACAGGGACGAAGCGCAAGUGACGGUACCUGUAGAAGAAGCACCGGCCAACUACGUGCCAGCAGCCGCGGUAAUACGUAGGGUGCGAGCGUUGUCCGGAAUUACUGGGCGUAAAGAGCUUGUAGGCGGUUCGUCGCGUCGUUCGUGAAAACUUGGGGCUCAACCCCAAGCUUGCGGGCGAUACGGGCGGACUAGAGUACUUCAGGGGAGACUGGAAUUCCUGGUGUAGCGGUGAAAUGCGCAGAUAUCAGGAGGAACACCGGUGGCGAAGGCGGGUCUCUGGGAAGUAACUGACGCUGAGAAGCGAAAGCGUGGGUAGCGAACAGGAUUAGAUACCCUGGUAGUCCACGCCGUAAACGGUGGGUACUAGGUGUGGGUUUCCUUCCACGGGAUCCGUGCCGUAGCUAACGCAUUAAGUACCCCGCCUGGGGAGUACGGCCGCAAGGCUAAAACUCAAAGGAAUUGACGCGCGCGCGCACAAGCGGCGGAGCAUGUGGAUUAAUUCGAUGCAACGCGAAGAACCUUACCUGGGUGGGACAUACACCGGAAACCUGCAGAGAUGUAGGCCACCUUGUGGUCGGUGUACAGGUGGUGCAUG